rnacentral:tRNA from 1 species
AAAAAAGAAUAAGCAUAAAAAAUUUUGAGUUUUUAGGUAAAUUUUAUAGAUUUCUUUUUUA